UAAGAUCAUACUUCACAGGAUCAUUUCUGUAGUAUGCAUCGUCCUCUCCAGGUGCAAAUCUGGAGUUGCCAUCAGCCACGAUGAUGAAACUUGUCCAUUUACCAGAGCGUGAGACAGCUGGUAGCAUGUUGAUUUACUUCGACGGUGGCUAUUCAGCGACGAUGAUCGCGACUGGGUCUCGAACCCGGGGGUACAUGGACAAUCUGAGUGGU